rnacentral:rRNA from 1 species
AUUGAACGCUGGCGGCAGGCCUAACACAUGCAAGUCGAACGGUAGCACAGAGAGCUUGCUCUCGGGUGACGAGUGGCGGACGGGUGAGUAACGUCUGGGAAACUGCCCGAUGGAGGGGGAUAACUACUGGAAACGGUAGCUAAUACCGCAUAACGUCGCAAGACCAAAGUGGGGGACCUUCGGGCCUCACACCAUCGGAUGUGCCCAGAUGGGAUUAGCUAGUAGGUGGGGUAAUGGCUCACCUAGGCGACGAUCCCUAGCUGGUCUGAGAGGAUGACCAGCCACACUGGAACUGAGACACGGUCCAGACUCCUACGGGAGGAAGCAGUGGGGAAUAUUGCACAAUGGGCGCAAGCCUGAUGCAGCCAUGCCGCGUGUAUGAAGAAGGCCUUCGGGUUGUAAAGUACUUUCAGCGGGGAGGAAGGCGGUGAAGUUAACAGCUUCACCGAUUGACGUUACCCGCAGAAGAAGCACCGGCUAACUCCGUGCCAGCCGCCGCGGUAA